ACUCGUUUUAUGGGCACGGAGGACGGGAGUUUUAUCAGCUUUCCUGGGAUUCAGCUCAACCAAAUCUUCGACCAUAGGGAUCUACCAUGGUACCAAACAGCUCUCUCGAACACCGAGCCCUCUUCGAUCUCCAUGACGACCCCUUACUACAGUGAGUUGGGCCUGGGGCUGGUGUGCACGGUGUCCAAGGCCCUGCACGACAAUCGGGGAAUCCUCAGGCGGUGGUGGCAGGGGACUUCACCCUGCAGUACAUCAUGACCCACUUCCUCAACCAGGUCCCUUACUGCAAGCGACACACGUGUCUUCUGGUGGACCAUCUGGGCUUCGUGGUGCUCAAGUCGGACUGGGCGAUCCACCAGACGCCCAAAUGGUUCAAAGAUACGGACAUCAUUGGGUCACACAUCAACCGCGUG